CUUGCUCUCUUCUCCGCCUUCACACCGGCACGCAAACGUACGUGGAAGAGGAUCGCGCUUACCCACCCGCAUCUCUCUCUUCUACUUCUUUCCUUCGUAUAUCUCACGUGCGUAGGCAGUCGCGCGCGCUCUGUGCCGCACCGACAUUCAUCUAGACAAGCGCACCUUUUCCACUCACCCGUACGUGUCUAGCUUAUACACGGCGCCCAAGUACGGCACCAAGGAACAUCGGCCCACAUCGACUGUGUCUUGUCGUUCGGUCGCCGAUCGCGGCAGCAGCAGGCACCAACGCAGAUGGUUGAGGCGUGCUUCCUGUGCUUGGACUCCACGGAGUACAUGCGCAAUGGGGAUCAGUACCCCACUCGCAUGAUGGCGGAGCAGGACGCGGCCUGCCUGCUGGCGAACGCGAAGCUGCAAGCGAACGCUGAAAACACGCUUGGCUUCCUCACGACAGGCGGAAAUGCGUGUACGGUGUACGAAACCCUCACAAACAAUGUGGACGCUAUCAUGACCUCGAUCGGCAGCAUCCCCGUCAACGGAAAGCGCUGCAACUUCAGCUCUGGUCUGCAAAUCGCGUCGUUGGCUCUCAGUCACCGCACCAACUCCCGCGCUGAAAAGCGCAUUGUCGCCUUCGUUGGAAGCCCGAUCGGGGAGACGGCAGCGGAGCUGGAGGCGCUGGCGAAAAAGCUGCGCAAAGACGACGUGGCGGUCGACGUGGUGGCGUUCGGCGUGGAGUCGAACGUGGAGCUGCUGCAGGCCUUUGUGAAGAAGGUAUCCAAAAAGGAGAACUCGCGUUUCCUGGCGGUGGCCGCGCGCGAGAACCUGACAGACAAACUGAUGAGCAACGCCAUUCUCCUUGGCGAGGACCUUCCCGAGGGGGCCGAGGGCGGUGGCGCCAACAUGAGCGGCUUUGGCGUGGACCCCAACAUGGAUCCGGAGCUAGCCAUGGCUCUCCGCCUCUCCAUGGAGGACGAGAUGCAGCGCCAGGCGGCUGCGGCCGCUGCUGCGGCCUCAUCUGCAGCCCCCGAAAGCGCACCGGCUUCUGGCAGCGCUGCCACUCCUGCUGCUCCGGCAGCCCCAGCAGCGGCGCCUGUGGUGGACGAGGAUGAGCUGAGCUACGAGAACAUGUCGGAGGAGGAGAUGAUGCGCCGGGCCAUCGCGCUCUCACUGCAAGAUUCCGCGCAGGGCGCUUCAGACACGACGUCCCCGCCAUCGGCGCCGCAGCCUGCCACUACCUCGGAAACGUGCAGGAAUGAGGAGGAGAACGAGGACGACUUUGCGAAAGGCGUCGAGGACGCCUUGGAGAAAGAGGAUGAGGAGAACAGCUCGUGAAGGAGAAACAACGGGGCUGCCUUCUCUCUAUCUUGCCCUCUUCUCGCCAUCCUUCAUGCGUGCGCUUUUGCAUGACGGGCUGUAUUCUCGUUUCCUAUUCGGUGUGCUCUGUGGACGUGGUCGAUGGACCAGAGCGCACAUCGAAAGUCGUGAGCGGAAAAGGGUGUGUGGUGUUGCUGAUGUUGCAAGAGAAAGAAGGAAGGUUCGCGUGUACGCCUUCGCUUGGCUAUGUGUAUGAGUCUGCGUAUUUUCCUCCCGGUGUGGGCCGUCACUUCAGCGAUGGUUGCGCGUCAGUGUCAAGAGCGAAGCCUGCGAUUGUUGGAUGCGGCUUAGUGACAACAGAAC
rnacentral:misc_RNA from 1 species